rnacentral:lncRNA from 1 species
AGAAAAUUCUACAAAAGUAAAGAAUGUGACUGUGGUUUUCACUACAAUAUUCUCAGUGUAUCUGGUACAUAGUAGGUGAUCAUAUAUUUAUUGAAUGGUAUAAAUGAAUGACUGUGUAAAAUAUUUUUUGUUACUGAGAGUAUAACAGUGUUUUGCUUUAAAUUGAUAGAUGUUAAUGCAGCUUUAGGUGCAUAGCAAAAUUGAGUGGAAAGUGCAAAGAUUUUUCAUAUAUCCUCUGUCCCCACACUUACACAAUAUCCUCCACUAUAGACUAAAAUGGUGUUUUAAACUAAGAGUGAAACAGUUCUGUCUUGGCCUCUAGUCUCAUUUGGCUAAGCUGGGGAAUAACAGCUGGGGAAUAACAAAGAAGCCCCCUAAAUAGUGACUUAAAUAAAAUACAAGUUUCUUUCUCAAAGGACAGCCGGGCUGAUUCAGGCUGGACGGGCAGGUCUGUUCCAUGAAGCCGGGGUGGAUCUGCCAUCCCAACAUAUGGCUUUCAAGGCUGCUCCAGUUGUCAUCAUUUCCAGCUGGGAGGGACAGUGAUGAGCCAAAAUCCAGCAUGGGGAGCCCUUCCUAAGUUGGAGAUGACACAGAAGUUGCACACAUCUCUUUCUCUCACAUCCCAUUAUCCUAAACUUCAGGAUCGUAGUCACUUCUAGCUGCGGAGGAGGCUGAGAAAUGUAAUUGCUUGUUAGGUGGGCAUGUACCCAGAAAUAUGGAAAAGAUGGAUUUUGAAGGACAGCUAGAAGUCUGGCAGAGCCCAGCAUGAGAAAUGUUCAUUAUAAUAGACAACCUAAUGAAACCUAAAUAAGAGAAACUAAAGCUACUCUCUUCUCUCCAAGGCUCUUCUCACUGAUAUAAAGUGACUUCACAGGUUGUAGUAGUACAAGCCACGCAAGAAAGGACUGGUGUGAUGACAAGAGGAAGCUGGGCAGAAGCUAACAGCAAUCGUCUGAAGCCACAAGGGUCUGUGGACAAUACCACCUUCUAUGCAGGAGUCAGACGGUGCCUCAGAGUGCAGGGAGAAUCUGAUGGGCAGAAGCGCUUUAGGUAAGAGAAAAGACAAAUGAACUUGUCAAAUUCUUCCUCUCAUACAGUGUGAAUGUUAUAGAUUUUUGCAUAAUAAAGUAUCAUUUCCCACUAGCACCAAGCAUCCAUCUUCUUGCUUCUCUGUUCCAGCUUGGGUCCAGGUCUUCAGGAACUGGUGCAACAUUCACUACAGUUGGGUAGAGUAGGAAAGG